UUCCCUCUCUAUUUUACCCUCAACUUUCAUCAUUAUAGUUUGUCCUCCACUACCAUCAGACGUUUACCAUAUAAAUUCUAUUCGUCUCCUAAACCAAAUUCUUAAAAUGAAAUUAGAUAGCUUGUUGAUGCCUAUCCGCAGGCGACUAUGUAGUAUCGGACGCUUACCGUCCCAGGUAAUAUCCUCACAACACUGUCCACAGAAGCUGAGGAAGAGAGAGCAAAGAGAGUUGCUGGAUCCUUUAGAUGACGAUGAAUCAAAGGCCCAAAACUGGAUCGAAACCAAAUGAAGACAAACAAAAGAAUGACACACGCAGCACUCUAAAUGUUAUUUACCAUCAAGGGAGACCUCUUUGGCAUCAAUGGCACUGUGCUGAGCAGCAAGAUUAACAUUGAGAACAUUUUGAGCCAAUACUGCAAAUGGCGGCCUAGGCUGCUGAUUUCCACCUAGUAGGUGCGAUCUAUUUGCUAAUUUGCAAUAUUCUGGUUCAUCACCGAUAUCGGUCUUUCUGAAUAUCAACAAAGGAGUUUUUACUAUGCAAUACACUUUUGUAUAGAGAUUUCUAAAAUGUAAACCCAAUGUACCUUGUUUUUUUAGCAGGCGAUGCAUUUAAUUUAUUGUGGAAUAUGAUUCUUUUGUUAUUAGAGUUGAGAUACGAAUUUUUA